rnacentral:rRNA from 1 species
AUGGUAACCAGCAGUGUAUCCAUUGCGGCAGCGGCGCUGGUGCUGCUGAUCUCGGCAAAAGCCGUCGCCGCAGGGGAUCCGCCGAUGAUGAUUGGGCUGCCGGGCUGCGACACCAGCUGUGGCGACGUGAGUGUGCCGUACCCGUUCGGCAUGGGGCCGAGCAGGUGCUACAGGCCAGGGUUCAAGCUCACCUGCGACAAUGACGGAAGCAAGCCCCCGCGGCUGCUCCUCGGCGACGGCAGCGCUGGCACAUUCGAGGUCGACCGCAUCUCCCUGGACAACAGCUGGAUGCGCGUCGUCAGCCAUGGACUGCAAGCCAUCAACAUGAGUGGUCGCUCCGGUCGGUGGAGCCUCGGUGAGACCGCCGGCGGGGUGAUGUACUUCCUGCGUCCGAGGUCCAACGAGUUCAUACUGACGGGCUGCAACGUGCAGGCGAUGUUGCUGCGAAAGGGUAACCUCGUCAGCGGCUGCGCCUCUUUCUGCCCUCCUCUCUCUGAUCGUCGAUUUGCCGGAUAUGUUCCGGGGCAUGGCCCCAACUCUACCUGCUCCAACAUCGGUUGCUGCCAGUCGUCCAUCAUCGGUAACAGCAUGCCCUACGGCGUGUCCUACGAUGUCUACGUCAAUGGGCUCAAGGGCAUCCAGCGCAAUGACACGAAGCGCUAUACAACGGUGAAGAACGUACUGCUCAUCGCCAAGGUGGGCUGGUUAAAGGAGAACAACCUGAAAGUGGUUAUGAAAUUUACCUACAAGAAUAGUAGUAACUGGCGGCGGAAGGCUGAUCAGCUCAGGGUCCCUGUGGUCCUCCAGUGGGCCGUGGCGCACGACGUCCCAGUGUAUAAUUUUUCGCGCAAAUGCCCCUAUGACGUAAAGCGGAGCAUCUGCAAGAGCACCAACAGCAAAUGCAAGGAUGACAAGUAUUGUAAGGACAGGGGAGCCUAUUCCUGCCAGUGCAAGAAGGGCUACGAAGGCAACCCUUACCUCACCGGCGGAUGCCAAGAUAUCAAAGAGUGCGAGCAGAAAGAAAAAUAUGACUGCUAUGGCGACUGUGAGGAAUUGCCGGGGUCGUUUCGUUGCCGGUGCCCGGCAGGAACACAUGGCAACUAUACCCUACCUGGUGGCUGCGUCCACAAAGGUAUGAUGAUCACCAGCCUCACAAGUAACUUGCGUUUAAUCAUUGGUCUCUCGGUUGCAAGUGGACCAUGCAUUUUACUGUUGGUUCUUGGUGCACUCCUAAUAACCCGUGCUCUUAAGCAACGCAAGGCUGAUGCAUUGAGAUGGAAGUUCUUUAGUCAGAACCGUGGGCAACUAUUGAAGCAGUUGGUAUCUCACAGGGCAGAUAUCGGAGAGAGGAUGAUCAUUUCAUUAGAAGAGCUAGUGAAGGCUACCAACAAUUUUGAUCAAACUCGCAGGCUCGGUGAAGGAGGGCAUGGCACCGUCUACAAGGGGAUCUUGUCGGACCUGCAUGUUGUGGCCAUCAAGAAAUCAAAUAUUGUUGUCAAGAGAGAAAUCGACGAGUUCAUAAAUGAGGUUGCCAUACUCUCACAAAUCAACCAUAGAAAUAUUGUGAGGCUCCGUGGGUGUUGCCUCGAGACAGAAGUCCCUUUAUUGGCUUAUGAGUUCAUUUCCAAUGGAACACUCAGUGAUCAUCUUCACAGGCCAGAACCAGGAUCGCUUCCUUGGAAAGAUAGGUUGAGGAUCACAAGUGAAAUAAGCAAAGCUCUCGCUUACCUUCACUCUGCUGUUUCAGUCCCAGUAAUACAUAGAGAUAUCAAGCCUUCCAACAUACUUCUUGACGAUGCAUUGACAGCAAAAGUUUCAGACUUUGGAGCUUCAAGAUACAUUCAAGUGGAUCAAGCAGGAACAACAACUGCAGUGCAAGGAACUAUAGGGUACUUAGACCCUAUGUAUUAUUAUAAUGGGCGCCUCACAGAAAGUAGUGAUGUUUAUAGCUUUGGAGUCCUUCUUGUUGAAUUGCUUACUAGGAGGAAGCCAUCUUUGUAUAGAUCCACCGAAGGCGAUGGACUUGUCAUGCAAUUUGUGGCACUACUUGCAGAAGGUAAUCUGCCCGAAAUAUUAGACCCACAAGUUGUAGAGGAGGGGGGUAGCGAAGUGAACGAAGUUGCUACUCUAGCUGUGGCGUGUGUGAAACUAGGAGCAGAGGAGCGGCCAACCAUGAGGCAAGUGGAGAUGGCGCUUGAAGCUCUCCAAGCAACCAAGGAGAUUGUCUUGGCUGAUUUGGUAGAAGAAAUAGAUGAGGUGUAUGUAGCAACGGGCUAUCCCUCGACCAGCCAACAAGCAAAGAAAAAACAAAAAGAAACAAGCAGGUGUUAUAGCCAAGAAGAAGAAUUCCUGUUAUCCGCGACAUUCCCUCGAUAG